UACGUAGGUGGCGAGCGUCGUCCGGAUUUACUGGGCGUAAAGGGAGCGUAGGCGGACUUUUAAGUGAGAUGUGAAAUACUCGGGCUCAACUUGAGUGCUGCAUUUCAAACUGGAAGUCUAGAGUGCAGGAGAGGAGAAUGGAAUUCCUAGUGUAGCGGUGAAAUGCGUAGAGAUUAGGAAGAACACCAGUGGCGAAGGCGAUUCCCUGGACUGUAACUGACGCUGAGGCUCGAAAGCGUGGGGAGCAAACGGG
rnacentral:rRNA from 1 species